rnacentral:rRNA from 1 species
UACAGAGACUGCAAGCGUUAUUCGGAUUCACUGGGCGUAAAGGGUGCGCAGGCGGUCGGGUGUGUCAGAUGUGAAAUCCCGAGGCUCAACCUCGGAACUGCGUCUGAAACUACUCGACUAGAGUACGGUAGAGGGUGGUGGAAUUUCCUGUGUAGCGGUGAAAUGCGUAGAUAUAGGAAGGAACACCAGUGGCGAAGGCGACCACCUGGACUGAUACUGACACUGAGGUGCGAAAGCGUGGGGAGCAAACAGG